rnacentral:rRNA from 1 species
CAGCCGCCACGGUAAUACGUAGGGUGCGAGCGUUAAUCGGAAUUACUGGGCGUAAAGCGUGCGCAGGCGGUUCGUUAAGACAGAUGUGAAAUCCCCGGGCUUAACCUGGGAACUGCAUUUGUGACUGGCGAGCUAGAGUAUGGCAGAGGGGGGUAGAAUUCCACGUGUAGCAGUGAAAUGCGUAGAGAUGUGGAGGAAUACCGAUGGCGAAGGCAGCCCCCUGGGCCAAUACUGACGCUCAUGCACAAAAGCGUGGGGAGCAAACAGGAUUAGAUACCCCCGUAGUCCCUGUCUCUUAUAC